rnacentral:rRNA from 1 species
UUAAAUUGAAGAGUUUGAUCAUGGCUCAGAUUGAACGCUGGCGGCAGGCCUAACACAUGCAAGUCGAACGGUAACAGGAAGAAGCUUGCUUCUUUGCUGACGAGUGGCGGACGGGUGAGUAAUGUCUGGGAAACUGCCUGAU